UAUUUAGUUUUAAUUUGUUGCGUCUUUGUAAUGUAGAGCAGACUGGAGAGUCUGACAGAGGCUGAACAAAAAUAAUUAUUAACCUCACCAAACGGUGUGUUGCUGCCCCUGAGGCACAUUUUUAUGGAUUUCUAUUGGAUUUUUAUCACUGAUUAAACAGCAAGAGCACUUUCUAAACUUAUACUUUACAUGUCAGAAUCCAUCGAUAAGGUCCUAUCUCCUCUGUGCAGCACCAUUGUGGAGUCUCUCCUCGUUAUUGUUCUCUGGGCAUCGGGUCUUCACUUUGCACCGGCAUAGCCAACAGCACUCCAUUCGCCAGUGCAACGUUGUGUAAAACUGUACUGGCCCAAAUGAUGUCCCACACCCUUUCAGGAAUGUACAACAAUAUGCCCACUGCUGGCUCAAGACAGAGACACCUGCCUUCUAGGAGUCAAACGCAGCGCUCCACAGUGGCGCGUGUGCGUGUGUGCGCAAUGUUAAAACAGCGCUCCUGCUCUGUAGCACUGUUUCUGGGCAGAGUUAUCAAAUAGGCCUAUUCACUAAGGUCAUAACAAAUUUAUUUUAUUUUAUUUACGUCUUAAUCUUUAAUAAAAUUUGGCUGAUUGUGCGUAAUGACAGGUUUGAGGUUUGUUUAUCAAUGAUUUUGAGACAGACAUUUGCUGCACGGCAGAUCCACACUGACUCAAACUUGUGUACGCGAUGUCAGACCUGUCGUGAGAUUUUGUCGUAGCGUACGCUCACGUGCAGAUUGUGAAAUGCCGAUCCUCACGCCAAAAUUGUCUUACGCAAGGUGUAUGCAAGUUUUCUGCCAUACGCAAGCUUGAUAAACGAGGGCCACUGUGAGUUAUAAUGACCUUUGUUACCUUUUCUCUUGUUUGUGUCUGUAAACAAGUCCUUUUGUGUUUGUUCUAGUCUGGUAUGGAGAAUUUAAAGUGUAUUAUACUUGUGCUUUAAGUCUCGCUCCUCUCUCCCUCUCUCUCACUAUCUCUCUCUCUCUCUGAUCCUGAUCAGACUGAGGACGACAUUACACUUAAACUCACACAGAUCAAUACAUACCAGGGAAUAGAACAGAAUAUAAUAGACUAUCUUUACUCUCAUUGUACAUGUACAACGAAAUUGAGUGCAACGCUUCUUAGUGCAGAUAUGAAAACAAAAACACUACAAUCUCAAGUGUAAAAACAGUGUAUAAAAAUGUAUGCAUAUCACAUUAAAAAACACACACGCAGGACAUGUCCAGUUCUCGUAAAGUUUAUUACUUGCAGUUAAGUGCUGUCAUUACUUUCGGGUACAGUUUUUAAGCAGUUGGUCCUUUUUUUUAAUUGCCCUUUAUCUUCUGCCCGAAGGCAGCAGUUCAAAUAGGUGGUAGUGGUGGGCAAAACCGUUCAUUUCAGUGAACCGGAUCAUUCCGGGUCGUUCAGUAAAAAGACUUGUCAUUUCGGUCAAUCGGUCAUUAGUCAGUCCGCUCGUUCAUGUUGUUCACGUUCGUUCAGAUGCUGAGCGAACGGACCAACGCUGCGAUCGCGCUGCACUCCUUGUAAUAUAAAAUUAUAGUAGGAAUAACAAAAUAUAUAAGGUUUUUAAUGGUUUUUAUUAUUUUGAGGUGCAUUAAAAACAAUAAUAAAAAGUACAAAAUGUCAACAGACAGUGCAAAUGCAUAUUAAUAGUUCUCUCUCUGCCUCUGGCUGCAGCAGCAGCUGUGUGCCUUUGUGUGUGUGUGACUGUCCCACUCGCUCAGGCUCGGCUGUCGGCUCGUGCGGCGGCCAGUCAACUCGGUCUUUCAGUCAACUUGUUCAUCGGUCUGGAUCUUUCGUUCACUCGGUCUUUCAGUCAACUCGUUCACCGUCUGGAUCUUUCGUUUACUCGGUCUUUCAGCCAACUCGUUCACCGUCUGGAUCUUUCGUUCACUCGGUCUUUCAGUCAACUCGUUCACCGUCUGGAUCUUUCGUUUACUCGGUCUUUCAGUCAACUCGUUCAUCCGUCUGGGUCUUUCGUUCAACUCGGUCUUUCGUUCAUUUAACCCGUUCUUUCAGUCAACUCGGUCAUGCCAGUCUUUCAGUCAGCUCAGUAGUACUGCUGCUGCUUCUCUAAGCCCCACCCACACACAGAACGAGGCGCGACGAUAGGAUAAGACAGGCAAGCACGGAGAUAGUCCCUCUUCAGCCAAUCAAAGGAACUGAACGGACUGAACGGGUCAUUUAGGGGGGGAGAACUAGUUCAUUUCGUUCACCAAAAAGAACUAGUUCUUUUGAUCCGUUCAUUCAAGACUGACACACCACUAAUAGGUGGUGACCGGGUUGUGAGGGGUCUCUGAGGAUGUUGUGGGCUGUACAGCUCAUUCAGGGAGGGGAGAGGGCAGCUGAUGAUGUUCUGGGCUGGGAUGACGACCUUCUGCUUUAUUGUAUUUAUAUAAAUAUGCUAGUAUCAUGGCAAAGGUGUGAUCCCUAUGAAAAUACAUAAUCUGACUCUAAAGGCAACAUUUCCCUCUCUCUCCUUUUUACCUGCUCCUCUCUGAUAGCGAUGGAGCUCUUUUGUUUAUGGAACCAGGAGUGCUGAACUACGCCACAAGGUAUGUUAGAGUGCCACUAUUGUUUGACAGUUAAAAUGCAGCAUGAUAGACUCUGGGCUCUAUUUUCGUGUACGCCGGUGAGGCAGCGGAGGGUGGCGGACCCCGUGCAGUUGUAUUUUCGUUUGGCACAGCCCGGCGUACAGCCAGUUUGGUAUUUUCGUGGACUGAGGCACACGGAGGCGAACCGAGAUCCGCCAAGCUGGGCGUGGUGGCGUGGCAGGGGGAGGUGUCGACAGAAUCAGCAGGCGCAGUGACAUUUUCGUGCUCGCCAGUGCCAUGUAAAGUGCGCUGAAAGCUCGCCGAUUCAAACCUGGUCAGCUUUCAGCGCAGGCGGAGUGCAGCUGGUCUAGAGGUAUUUUGGUAGACCAGCGGCGUAUCGGCAUACAUCACCGAUGCCUCAUCGGCAGGUUUCCACAGUGUCAGGCACAUUUCAGUGCAAUAAAUAUUCAUCAACAACUAUUAAUCUGAGUCAGCACAUACAUUUAGAUCUAUAUAGAUAUAUUCUGAUCUAUAUCUGAUCUGAUGAGCGCGUUUGGUACGGGUUUGGACAAACAACCUGACCGAAUCAACACAGCUGAAACUGCGUUAAAUUAAAUUAAAUAUCUAGUGAAUAGACACACAUGAUGAAGUUAACUACACAUGUAAUUCGUCUCCCUCCUUUUCUUUCUUCCUCUUAUUUCUCGCGCAGCUCGACCUGGACAUGUCUCCGUGUCCUCUCUCCGUCCUGCUGCAGCUGCGGCUGAACAGGGGCCUCAUGUAUCAACACUUGCGUCGGACUCAUACGAGAAACAAGCGCACGCAAGGUCCGUCACGCUGAAAAAAAUCUGUAUGUAUCAAGGUGUGCGGGCGCCGAAAGCCACGUGUGUUUCCUUGAUAAAUCCCAAUCAGCGUGGAAUUGAGCGCAGAAGUCGGAGUGACCGGGCCCGCCCCCGUUACGCCCUCCUAUAAAUAUGCAGAUUUAUUUAGAUAGGGUCUCCCUGUCCUCGCACGCAGACAAAAUGACAAGAAAAACUAAAUCUACGGCGUGCGAGGUGGAGGUGCUGGUGGCGGAGGUGGAGGAGCGACAGCGUGUUUUGUUUGGCAGCCUGUCCAGUGGCGUCAGUGCAAAACGAAAACGCUUGGAGUGGGAGAAAGUUUGCGAGAGGGUGAACGCGGUGGGUUCCGAGACACGCACCCCCGCGGUGAUUAAAAAAAAGUGGUUGGACCUCAAGGUGGAGGUCAAGCGGCGUACAGCUGCCCUCCGGAGGAGUACCGGCCAGACAGAUGGGGUUCCGCGGGAGGAGACCCUCACGCCGUUUGAGCAGCGGGUGGUGGCGAUUAUUAUUAUAGGGUAAGUGGCGUGUCACACAAAUGUCCACAUGCUUUGCCAUCCCACUGAGCAAAGGACGUAUAUUAGACGUCUAGUCUAAGUUUAUAUUCAUUUCAACAUCGGGAUUCAGUCUAUUUUUAGACGUGAUUUAUACUUCGCCCUUAACUUCAUUUUUCGAUAACUUUUUAUGCAAUAAACAACUGUAAUGUGCAUAACUGACCUCUAAAUACUGGAUUACAUUACCUAUGAUACCGUGGAGAGAGAUGUAAACGCUACAGAUACACAAGAGCAGGAAUUGAAAUGAACCAAUAUUUUUAUUGUGUCACAGAAAUCAAUGUGUCGGCCGUGUCGCCGGCUUGCGGAACCCCGGCCCGCGGCAGCCCAUCAGCCGGCUCGGAGUCGUCGGCCAGGACCAGCGGCAUUCGGGCCACCCCGGUCCCCAGCCCCAGCACCAGCAUCAGCAUCAGCAUCAGCACCAGCACGCCGACAAGCGGUGGAGCGUCCACCAGCCGCGGCGCUUCCGCUGGACCACCCGGACGCAGUGGAAGGGUCCUCACGGAGGCGGUCCUGCAAUCGCAGGAAGAAAUCAUCAGGGGGAUCGCGGGAUCAACGAGCGGCUGGACCGGCUCGUAAAUGUCCUCGAGCGUCUGGUGGCGAAAAUAAAUUAAUUUGGCUCAUUGAACUGUGUAUUCACUUCUUACCCAUUCACACUGUGGCGAUGAGAUUCUCCCGCACGAGGACGGCGGCCCGGCAGGGAUCAGCUCGCAUCCCUCCGUCUGCUGCUGGUUCGUCAUGUGGGGCGACGUGCUGCUUGGCCACGGGGAUGUGGUGCACGCUUUUCACAUAGUGAGUCACCAAACACCGCCACACAGCGUCGCCAAAGUGCCGUUAACACAAGCUCAACGCCAACUUCUACACCACCUCCUCACUUUGCGUUGAUUAGCGCUGGAACCGACACUCGUGUCGCGAUGAUAUAUCUGGACGUGUGCGCCGAUCUUGGCGGACGCAAGGUUUUCUGGCGCCGCCAGCGUUGAUACAUGAGGCCCCAGAUGAUUUGUUUCAGCGCUCAGAUGAGUUAUCUACUUUAAGCCGACAUACGGAUAUUAUAAUAUUCAGUUUUGUCAAAUUUAUUUUAUACGCCAACAUCUGUGAAAGAAAGAGACAGGCCACGGAGCGCGAUGCGUCAUUUACGCACAGAUGGUUCCGAUUUUAAUGCCAUUUUUGGAGUUUAUGUUGUGAUCUGUGCGCUCAACCCACCUUUGUCACGUGAGGUUUGAAUAUAUGCAACUUUAUGUGAGUGUCUUUAUCUGUGGAAAAGGGUGCUUGUCUUACUAGUGGGUCCAAACUUACACACACCAAAUCCCUCUGUGCUCAUAUGAGAGAGUGUGGAGGACGCCCAAUGCAGCGCUUACAGUGACACUUGUUGAGAAGCUGUCUUCUGUCGCCAUCGUGUGGCAUUACUGUCUUCAGACAUCUCUUGAUCUCUUUGAUACUUCACGAAAAUAGUAAUACGCCUCGCCUGUGGCGGAUUUAAAGGCGAGGAGAGGAGCUGAUGUUAUUGGUAAAUACAGGUCUCAGCUGUGUUAAACCCACUCCACGCCCUCUCUCCUCCCUCGCAACGACUUACGCCGCUGGGAGGAGCUGAGUUAGGGAGGGGGGAUACUUAUGCCGGGCUGCGCCGCUCACCAAAAUACCAAAUUGUGCUUGGGAAUGCCUUGUCGGCGUGGCGUACCUGACUUACGCCGCGCCGACAAGGCACGUCUCCAGCGAGGCACGAAAAUAGAGCCCUCUGUCUUCAAUGGAGGGGAAAAGGUUAAAACGACAUUUUAGUGUCAGUGAGAGGCUCUCAUUGUGGGCCCUUCCAGUGCAAAAUAUGUUGUCAGUGGACACAGGCCCUAAUCGUAAUAAAGGUUACCUGGUUUGAUCAGCACUGGGUUGCACCAGCUGUGUGUAAAUGCAAACUUGGCCAAGUUUGAAUGUAAUUACUGACUUUAUUUUAGGGUUGCACCAGCUGAGAUCGCUCCAACAUAAACAGAAGCUGGCUCUGAGUCAAGUCGUCCAUAAAUACAAGCUGUUAUGGAGCGUCAUUUUAAAAGAUGAGAUAACGUUGAAGAGGAUGAGGAGUAGAUGGUUGGACUUGCUGUUUUGUGCAUGUAUUAUGUUUUCUGCGAUAGAUUACAGUAAUUUAAAAUCUAUGAACAUAGAUCUGCACUCCUGCUUCAUUUCCCACGAGCAGGGAUCUGUAUUAAGUACAGCUACGUUGAAUAAAUAUAUUACAGCUGGUUGAACAGGCACAGGACUCUCAAAAGAAACAGAUGAGUCCCCAGCUUUGAGUAAGACCUGUCCAUGAAAGGCCAUCAAAUAACCCUGAUUAUGACAUAAAUAGUUUAAAUAGAAAUAAAGGCAGGAAAUUACGCGGUGAAAUUUGGUGAGCCCUCUUUCUCUUUGCAUUUUAGAGUUUGGAUUAACUUGAUUGCAUUUGCUAGCCAUAGACCCUGUUUUAAUCUGCUUUGAAAAUAAAUCAAGAAGUCAGGCCUCCUUCUGUAACUGGGCCAUGUGACAACCAACCCUCCAACGUAAAGAUAAAUAUCUGUUACUAAUGGGAGAUUUCAAGUGCAUAAACAUGGAGAAGGAUAAACUGAGAUUUGUAAUGAGAUGAAACACAUCCUGUAAUCAUUUUUAUUAAGCAGCAGGGAGCUAAUUUACAUGAUGAGGAGAUUGAUUAGCACAUGGGGUAAUAAGGCUUCUUUUAUCAGUAUGUAAAACAUGUUCAUUCAGUUUAACACCAUCAUGAGUAACAGCCUUUUUUUGCUCUUUGAUUUUAGGUUAAUGUCACAUUUAUAACGUGAUCUGUUUGGCAGUGACAGGCUGCUGCAUGAAACAAACCGAUGCAUUUUAAUUUCAAAGAAACUGCUGAUCACUUGACUGAACCUGUUACACUGGAUAAUCUUGCAGCGUGUGGAUAGGAGGUCCCAGAGGUGCGACUCUCUGCUCAGAUUGAUUUUCAGCAGCAGAAAGACACCUCAGGUGAAGCGCAGCGGUCAGGUGAGUUUUAUAGGUCUGUCAGAUACUGUUAGUUUACACUCAGAUCACAGGUCCAGAAGGAAUCUGUUCCAUUAUGGUCCACUUUUAAUGCUGCAGGAAACAAAGACCGUCUGUAUUCACUGUAUGCAAAGUAAAGAACAAAAGCAAGAGUCCAUCCUGCAGAAAGAUUCCCCAUGAGCUGGACUGAAAGACAACCAGACUGUAGAUCACAGUAACAGACCAGGGAGGUGCAUAUACUCUUAUAUCACGUGUAGAGAAAAACACAACAGAGCCCCAAAUGAAUGAGCAAGAAUACACCCAGAGUAAAUAAGCACAUCAGGGGCCUCAUGUAUCAACGCUUGCGGCGCAAGAAAACCUUGCGUACGCCAAAAUCGGCGCACACGUCCAGAUUUAUCAUCGCGAAACGAGCGUCGGUUCCAGCGCUAAUCAACGCAAAGUCAGGAGGUGGUGUAGAAAUUGGCGUUGAGCCGAUACUUGCGUUGACUGUGAUUCGCACUUUGGCGACGCUGUGUGGUGGUGUUUGGUGACUCACUAUGUGACAAGCAUGCACCACAUCCCCGUGGCCGAGCAGCACGUUGCCCCACAUGACGAACCAGCAGCAGACAGAGGGAGGCGAGCUGAUCCCUGCCGGGCCGCCGUCCUCGCGCGGGAGAAUCUCAUCGCCACAGUGUGAAUGGGUAAGAAGUGAAUACACAGUUCAAUGAGCCAAAUUAAUUUAUUUUCUCCACCAGACGCUCGAGGACAUUUACGAGCCAGUCCAGCCGCUCGUUGAUCCCGCGAUCCCCCUGAUGAUUUCUUCCUGCGAUUGCAGGACCGCCUCCGUGAGGACCCUUCCACUGCGUCCGGGUGGUCCAGCGGAAGCGCCGCGGCUGGUGGACGCUCCACCGCUAAGCGUUUUCGUUUUGCACUGAAGCCACUGGACAGGCUGCCAAACAAAACACGCUGUCGCUCCUCCACCUCCGCCACCAGCACCUCCACCUCGCACGCCGUAAAUUUAGUUUUCUUGUCAUUUUGUCUGCGUGCGAGGACAGGGAGACCCUAUUUAAAUAAAUCUGCAUAUUUAUAGGAGGGCGUAACGGGGACGGGCCCAGUCACUCUGACAUCUGUGCUCAAUUCCACGCUGAUUGGGAUUUAUCAAGGGAACACACGUGGAUUUCGGCGCCCGCACACAUUAAUACAUACGGAUUUUUUUCAGCGUGACGGACCUUGUGUGCGCUCGUUUCUGGUAUGAGUUCCACGCAAGUGUUGAUACAUGAGGCCCCUGGUGAUUGGUUGUUUCCCGUUAGCCAUGAGCCCCGUUGUUUAGUUGGCUGUCUGGUUAGUUGUUUGAUGCAUCAGUUGAUAAUGAGUAUAGUUGCUGAAUUGGUUAGUAGUGGGCUUGUUGGUUGAUUAGUUAGUUAGCUAAAUGGGAUUUGAGAUUUAUUUGUUUAUUUUUCUUUAAAUGGGAUAAUAUGCAUUAUGCGCUUGGUUGAUCGGCUAUAUGUGUGCUUGUUUGGUUGGUCAGUUGGUUGGCUGAUCAGUUAGUCAUUUGGCUUUUAGUUUAAUUUUGGUUGGUUAGUUGGUUAACUUCAUGGUUGUUGCAUUGGUUAGUGGUUAGUGGUUUGGUUGCUGGUUGAUUGGUUGGCUGGUCAGUUGGUUUUUAAGCUUGUUGGCUCAUAGUUGACCGGUUGGCUGGUCGGUCGUUUGGUUGUUCAGUUAGUUGAUUGGUAGAUCUGUUACUUAGUAGUAGGAAACUGUAUAUUUUAGUUUUAUUAUGGAGGUCUACGCUGCCACCACCUUUGUUUAUCCGGUCUGGUCCAGUGUCAGAGGCAAGAGAAAUCUACACCGAGACUUCAUUAAAAGGUAUAACAAUACAGACUUUAUUGAGAUCACAAAUUCAUUAAGAAUAUGGCCAAGAGACUCUGUAUCUGUCUCCACUGAGCAUCAGUGUUCCUGCAAUAGGGCCAGCCCAUGCCCAAACACUGCAAAAGAAAAAAACCCACACGGGACACACCACACGCUAAGCAAAUGAUGCCCAGCACAAUAAUAAAAGUUUGUGAACUACAUGCAUCUCAUACACUAAAGACCACUACGCACCAUGCAGAAAUCAACGCGUAGGUGGGGAGAUUUAACACACAUGUACAGCGAGGCAUGCAGACACCUCUGUGGAUCCAGCACAGGGACUUACAAACCAGCCACUCUGUACCUACAGGAGACGACAGGCCUCUCCUCCUAACACAGGAACUGUUCUCCUUUCCAACUAUCGUCACUGUCAAUAACUAAAAAGUCAUGGACAGCACACUCUGUCAUUAUUUACAUCUCUGUCCCCUGGCCAUGGCCACAGACAACAGCAGUCCAGUGUUUCUCUCAUGUGCCUGCCCACCCAGUCUCCCUUUUAACAGCUACGCUGUGUUUCUCCCAUUCUCACACAGGUGAGUGUCAUCAGGUCAUUAGUUUAAAAUAAUAACAGGUCCUCUCUCUCUAUCUCAGUGUUCACAAUGAGACAGUGGCUCCAAACAGCCUCACCACAGUAUGCCAGUUAGUUUUUUGGCUAUUUGGCUGGUCAGUUAUCUGGUUAGUUAUCUGGUCAUUCGGUCAGUUUGUUGAUAGUUUGGUAAGGUUAGUUGAUUUUUUUUUAUGGUUUGUAGUCCAGUUGGUUGCUGUAUCAUUGGUUGGCUAAAUGAUUGGUUAAUUCGUCAUUGUUUGAGUGGGUGGCUGGUUGGGUGGUUGGCUGACUGGUUGUUGGUUGGGUGGUCAGUUGGCUAAGUGGAUGGCCACCAGAUCAAUUUGUGAGCACCAAGGUAGGUUGAUUGAUUUGAUAUCUGUUGGUAGCCCAGUUGGUUGGUUAGUUUUGAUUGGUUAGCUAUGUAAUUGAUUGAUUUGUCAGUUGGUUGGGUGAUUGGUAAGUUCAUUGGCUCUAAAGAUGGUAGGUUUGUUGUUUGGUUGGUGAGUUCUUUGAGAUUCCUUUUUUUCUGGAGUAGGGAACAUACUAACAAAAAGAAAUCCUAACCAGCACAAACUCAUGGACCUGCAGUGUCAUGUUCUUCAUUUGUGGUGUACAAACCGCCCUUUAACCCUAAAAAUGCUAUUUACAAUGUUUUUAAAACAUGUACCUUGGUUUAAAUGCACCUUUCCUCAUAACCCAGAAUUCCUGGUGCCACAUACUGUCAGUUCAUGUCCACUCAUAUGUAAAAUAUGACCUUUGAAAUCGAAGCACAAACACUGGCUUGGUAGAGAAAUGGUGAAGCUCAUAAAAGUAUUAAUUCUUGUAAUUUAACAUUGUUAUGAAAAAUAGCAGUGAUCCUGUUUUUCUCUUUUAGCUUUUACAUUUUGCUCAGGCUUUUUAAGCUUGCUUUUCUACCAAGUUUUGCAUAAUUAGUUUCAACACCUCUGACUGACUGUCUUCUCUCCCAAAGAUCCUGGCACGCAUGCGUUAUCAAUAAGGAGAUAUCAUUCCCUAUAAUAACUUAUUACUAAAGCUAUGAUAGAGAAGUCCCCCCUUAUCUUUCAGCUUUGAUUUCCUUACAUGCAGAUAACCAUCAAGCAUGCUCCCAGCUGUCUCUGCAGAUUCACACAGAGCGAUUAAGAUCAGCUUUGUGCUUUAUGUCCCACAUCUGCUCAAAGAAAAAAAAAAAAACCUGAACACAUCAACACCGCAGAGACUAUUUCAAGUUAGAGUCACUCAUCUUAUCCCACCUUUUGUGAUGUGUGCUUCUGCUUUAUUGUUGUUUGUUCCUCAGAAGUACCUGACAUAAGGGUCCUCUUGUGUGUUGGGAUAGGAUUUAGGUACACAUGGAAUACUGAUGGUGGAGACCAUGAUUAGAUUGUUAUGUGUCACUAUAAAUGCUCUUGAUGCCUGCAAGCAAUUUGCACAAGUCUGAAUGUUACCUCCGGGCUUUAGCCCCAUAUAACUGGAUUAACGCUGUCUGUUUAUGGUUCAGCCCUGUGAAAGGUUGUGUGUCUGCAGGAACAUUCAAAUGUGAGACAUGCGUCUGAUAUCAAGAACAUAGGGAGCCAUCAGCUCCCUCUUUCUCCUCACCCAUCCUUCCUCCCCCUUAUGUCUCAGUGAAGGUGGAUGAUUAGGUUUCCCUUUGGAUGGGAGUUUGUCCAUCUCCUUAGUGGAGUGUGGGCACUGUCACCAUGGCAACUGCUAGGCUUAGUGAUUGGGUAAGCCCCUGCCACCAUACACACCCGGGGGUUUGUGGAAUCCCUUUGUUGCUUCUUUGCAACAUCUAGCAUCUGAACCUCGCUUAGCACCACCACCGCAACAUGAGUCUCUUCAUCAAACUGAAAUAUCAUCCAAACCUUUUUUUGUUGUUGUUAUAGACAGAGUGAGGUGCAUGUGAGCAGAAUCACUGAUGAUAUCGCUUCAGGCAGGUUCACCUCAGAGUCUUUUCCCAAACAAACCUAGGUCUGUUUCACAUGUUCACCCUCAUCCCUAAAAAAGAUUACUCAGAACCAACAGGGCAGCUGUAAGGGGUGGGGUGAAUAUUAUUUUAAGAGAGGAUGCUUGUUUUUUUUCCAGACAUGAUGCCCUUAUACCUGAAAAAAAAAUCAAAAUUUGAUUUUGUUCUAAACACAUAGUUAAUCUUUAAGUUGCUGGAUUGUAAACAAAAUCUGCUGGGGGGUGGGGGCACAUACACUGUCAAUUUCAUACUCACUUUUAAACCGGGAUGAUGACAGUUGUCCAGCUGGAUCAUCUCACUGAGGAGUGACUGUAGCUCAAUUUAACUGUUCAUGUAAAUAUGCUGGAUGAAUUUGCUGCAGGUUUGCUGAUCAUGCAUAUUGCUUCAUUUUUUAAGCUCAUUUUCCAUUUGCAUCAUGUGUCAGGGGGCAAGGUUGAGUUGGUGGUAUUUAGCCUGCAUCAACGACAAAGGUCCCAGUUAAUGGGAUGCCCUGCCAUGUGUUGGCCCUUCUUUUCUUAUGGCGUUGGCUUUAAGUUGCACUCAGGGUUUUGUGGUUGCUGGUGGAAUUUAUUGACAUUGAUAUUGUGACAUUGUGUGAUAUUGAUAAUGUAAUAAAGGCCUACAAACUUUAAGUUCCUCACAGAAGCUUUCAAAUUAGAAAGGUCUUGAUAUAAAUUUUAAAAAUCCAUUCCCAUGAUGUCACUCACAUGACUGUGUAGGAGGUUAUUUUUCCGGUGUCUUAGGUGGGUGCUCCUGUGGACUGGCCUGUUUGGUGAUGGGUGGUGGUGCUUUAAUCUGAGGAGCCCAGCAAAUAUUCCCUCCCCCUGCGUCACUGCAGCCGUGAUUCAUCCUUACCUCUGCUAUGAGUCAUUACAGUGUGCAAGCUCUGACCUGACGCUCAGCACACUAGUAUGCUAUUCAUGGUCACUGCGGCUGUCUCGUCUGCUUCCAUGGAAACUGAGCUGCUGUUAUGAGGAGCGGAGAUUGAACGUGACAAGAAGUAAUCUAGCACAUUAGACAGAACACACCAGGUUCACAGCAGGACACAACCUGUGUUUUUAAGACGUGAUGAAGAUGAAGGUCCCAGCAAUAGACCCUUUCUAUAUAUUCAUGUUGGUGUGUGAAUGAGCAUCUCUGCCAACUCCCCAAGUGUGGAAACAUCUUUGUCAGUGAAGGAGGUGAUCUGGUGUGAAACAUUUGAGGUUUAGGAAAUAUUCCUGCUGCAACUACUAUCCAUGUGCUGUCAGAGCAGAACUCCAACAUCAUGAUGUGGCUGCCAUGAUGAUCUUGCUGGUGGAGCUCAUUGUCUCCUGGGUGGAGAGGUUGUCAGCAGCCCCUAAAUCUAGUUUCACUACACCAAAGCUACCACCCAUAAAGAUGUAGCAAGCUAAGCUACAGCAACAGGGCAGAAGAAGUUCAGCUUCAUCUACAUCUUUAAUGGUAGACAGGAUGAUUCAUCAUCAUUAUGAUAUGAUACAGUGAGAUAAGAUGCACUUAAUUGUCCUCCUGGGGAAAGUUGUCUCGGACUGAAAUGCUGCACAUGCUCAACCUCAUCCACAAUAAUACCAAUAAAGAAACUAAACGAAUAAAACAGUGUUAAAAAAACAUGCAACAACCCACAUUCAAAAGGGCUGUCACUUUUUAUUGAUGUGCAAACCUUCACACUCUGGAGGAAAAGCUCAUAUUCAGACUGUAAUGAGUUGUCCAAGCUCAGUAUACCAGCAGCUCCCUAAAGUAGGUGGCCAUGAGAUCCAGUAGAGGGUGCCCUCAUUGAAACCUGACCAAUCUCUGGUCUCAUGAUCUCAGGAAACUAAAGCAGGAAAGGAAUUUUACAAAAGUGGAGGACAAGCCGCACUGAGUGAGAUUCACAACACCAAAACACAUUGGCCCUUAUUUAUCAAUCUUGCGCAGAUCUGAGCGCAGAUCUGAGUGCAGGAUUCAUAGUACGAUAGGACACACGUGAGAUUUUUGCAAGGGUUCGUAUCUGACCAAUCCCAGUGUACGUAUGAUCAGGUCUUGAUAAAUGCAGCGGCUGAAAUCGAUCGUCAUUAACAUGUCACACCCUUAAAUAUUCGGGGUUCAGAAGCCCCGCCCACUCAGGUCAAACAUGAAAGAGGAGAAAUAUUAGAAAGAUUUGAAACUUUUCCGAGAUGAAAGUGGAUAUCCUCACGUCUGUGGUGGAAACUAACAAGGAUUUUAUCUUUGAAAGCAUCAAAACUGGUAUAAAAGCAGUCCAGAAAACUCCUGUCUAGAGCAGGACUAUGGAGGCGGUGAACAGCGCUGCCGUGGAAUAGCGGACAGUGGCUGAAGUUUGAAUAAAUCAUUAGUCAAUAAGUUGCUCAUGAUGAUAAAUUAAUAUCUCAUACAUGCCUCAUAUGUUUUAUUGGUAUGACAGGGUACAUUGCUCUUUUUAUUGAAAGUAUUUAGUUUGUUGCGUCUUUGUAAUGUAGAGCAGACUGGAGAGUCUGACAGAGGCUGAACAAAAAUAAUUAUUAACCUCACCAAACGGUGUGUUGCUGCCCCUGAGGCACAUUUUUAUGGAUUUCUAUUGGAUUUUUAUCACUGAUUAAAUAGCAAGAGCACUUUCUAAACUUAUACUUUACAUGUCAGAAUCCAUCAAUAAGGUCCUGUCUCCUCUGUACAGCACCUUUGUGGAGUCUCUCCUCGUUAUUGUUCUCCGGGCAUCGGGUCCUCACUUUGCACCGGCACAGCCAACGGCACUCCAUUCUCCAGUGCAACAUCGUGCAAAAUUGUACUGGCCGAAAUGAUGUCCCACACCCUUUCAGGAGUGUACAACAACAUCCCCACUGCUGGGCCAAGACAGAGACACCUGCCUUUUAGGAGUCAAAUG